UAUGGGUAUUGCUUCUUUGGCACAUACUUUCAGAAUGAUGAGCCAGGAGUGAGCACGUUGGUGGCGGCGGUCUCUGGCGAUGGCCAGAUCCUGGUGAUUGCUGUCAGUGGAGCCCCAAAACAGCAUCGACAGUGUUGUUUACCCUUUUGAUCCAAUUAUACAUCUAUUCCUUGCAGGUUAACUUGUUCCAGUUCAUGGAAGUACCUGCUGAGACACCUAUAGUGCGGAUACAAAAAUACAUCUAUUCUAUACUGCCUUAACUUUGUCUCCUCAAACUUAGAAGGAAAAGCUCAAGGGAGCAAACAGAACAAGGAGGAUGGAGCUAGAAAGAGAAAGUUAUCGCCAUAAGCUUCCUAGACGUAAGAUGUUCUUCAGCAUAGCCGCACAUGCCCAUCAGCAAUGAAUUGUAACCCAAGGGCGGCGACAGAGAAAAUUGAUUGUAUUUUCAGUUUCUCAUUGUUUCAUGUUCUUCCUAGACGAAUGGCUAGUGGAUCAUGCUCGGAACGGCGGCGAGAAAAAGGGGAGUGAUGGGAAGUGUGCUCCAACGAAGACGUACCUGGAACGGCGGCGAGAAAAAGCAGAGGCACAGUUCAUGUUUUUUCUUCGGUGAUUGAUCAGACGGUUGGUACAAGGAUGAGGAUCGUGCAAUGAAGGAAGGUGUCUUCCUGUAGCGUAUCCUGAUUGAUUUGAUUGGCGGCAUAUUGUACGUGAUAUGUGAUUGCCUUAUCAUAUUGUACGUGAAGGAGAACUGUUACCAUAUUUUGAUGUGCCUACUUAUUUUGGCCGUGACA